rnacentral:rRNA from 1 species
CGCGGCCUAUCAGCUUGUUGGUGGGGUAAUGGCCUACCAAGGCGACGACGGGUAGCCGGCCUGAGAGGGCGACCGGCCACACUGGGACUGAGACACGGCCCAGACUCCUACGGGAGGCAGCAGUGGGGAAUAUUGCGCAAUGGGCGAAAGCCUGACGCAGCGACGCCGCGUGAGGGAUGAAGGCCUUCGGGUUGUAAACCUCUUUCAGCAGGGAAGAAGCGAAAGUGACGGUACCUGCAGAAGAAGCACCGGCUAACUACGUGCCAGCAGCCGCGGUAAUACGUAGGGUGCAAGCGUUGUCCGGAAUUAUUGGGCGUAAAGAGCUCGUAGGCGGUCUGUCGCGUCUGCUGUGAAAACUCGGGGCUUAACCCCGGGCCUGCAGUGGGUACGGGCAGACUAGAGUGCGGUAGGGGAGACUGGAAUUCCUGGUGUAGCGGUGAAAUGCGCAGAUAUCAGGAGGAACACCGGUGGCGAAGGCGGGUCUCUGGGCCGUAACUGACGCUGAGGAGCGAAAGCGUGGGGAGCGAACAGGAUUAGAUACCCUGGUAGUCCACGCCGUAAACGUUGGGCGCUAGGUGUGGGGCUCUUUCCACGAGUUCCGUGCCGCAGCUAACGCAUUAAGCGCCCCGCCUGGGGAGUACGG